CCUACGGGGAGCAGCAGUGGGGGAUAUUGCACAAUGGGGGGAACCCUGAUGCAGCGACGCCGCGUGGGUGAAGAAGCGCCUCGGCGCGUAAAGCCCUGUCAGCAGGGAAGAAAAUGACGGUACCUGAAGAAGAAGCCCCGGCUAAAUACGUGCCAGCAGCCGCGGCACUACGUAGGGGGCAAGCGUUAUCCGGAUUUACUGGGUGUAAAGGGGGCGCAGACGGCGAUGCAAGCCAGGAGUGAAAGCCCGGGGGCCAACCCCGGGACUGCUCUUGGAACUGCGUGGCUGGAGUGCAGGAGGGGUAGGCGGAAUGCCUGGUGUAGCGGUGAAAUGCGUAGAUAUCAGGAGGAACACCGAUGGCGAAGGCGGCCUGCUGGACUGCAACUGACGUUGAGGCCCGAAAGCGUGGGGAGCGAACAGGAUUAGAUACCCGUGUAGUC
rnacentral:rRNA from 1 species